rnacentral:rRNA from 1 species
CGUCUAUAUACGUAUAGCAUAUCAAUAAGCGGAGGAAAAGAAACUAACAUAGGAUUCCCUCAGUAACGGCGAGUGAAGCGGGAAGAGCUCAAAUUUGAAUAUCUUCAAGGUUUUACCUUGACGAAUUGUAGUUUAAAGAAGUGUUUUCUGUUGAAGUUUUGGUAAAAGUUCUUUGGAAUAGGACAUCAUAGAGGGUGAGAAUCCCGUAUUUGACCAUUAUCUCCAGCUGUGUGAUACACUUUCAAAGAGUCGGAUUGUUUGGGAAUGCAGUCCAAAAUGGGUGGUAAAUUUCAUCUAAAGCUAAAUAUUGGCGAGAGACCGAUAGCGAACAAGCUACCGUGAGGGAAAGAUGAAAAGAACUUUGAAAAGAGAGUUAAACAGUACGUGAAAUUGUCAAAAGGGAAGCGUUUGACACCAGUGUUGUUUUUCCGAAAAUCAAUUACGAAUGUCUUGAUUUUGAUGGUGUAUUGACCUUAUCAGCUUUCUUCACUUUUUUCGAGUCUUUCUUAAUGCACUUUUCGGUUAACAAGUCAACAUCAAUUUCUUUUGUUGUAAAAGAGUAUUCGGAAGGUGGCUUUCUUUUCGGAGAAAGUGUUUAUAGCCCUAUACUUCUACAAUCGGAGAGACUGAGGUCUGCAGCGUAGAUCCUUCUUGGAUUAGAUUCAUUUGUGCUAAGUUAUAGCUUUUUAUAGACAACUUGUUGACUAUAUUUAGUCUUGUAGCUUACUCGCUUAUGUAAUUUUACCUACGCUUAGGAUGUUGACUGAUAUGUAGUCGUA